ensembl:rRNA 5S_rRNA 5S ribosomal RNA
UCUGGCAGCCAUAUCACCCUGUAGCCCAAGACUGAUCGCCCACUGAAGCUAAGCAGGGUUGAGUCUGGUUAGUACCUGGAUGAGAGACCUCCUUAGAAAAACUAGGUUGCUGUUGGAA